rnacentral:rRNA from 1 species
UACGUAGGUGGCGAGCGUUGUCCGGAUUUACUGGGCGUAAAGGGAGCGUAGGCGGACUUUUGAGUGAGAUGUGAAAUACUCGGGCUCAACUUGAGUGCUGCAUUUCAAACUGGAAGUCUAGAGUGCAGGAGAGGAGAAUGGAAUUCCUAGUGUAGCGGUGAAAUGCGUAGAGAUUAGGAAGAACACCAGUGGCGAAGGCGAUUCUCUGGACUGUGACUGACGCUGAGGCUCGAAAGCGUGGGGAGCAAACAGG